GAACGGGCCGCACGGGGGCCAACCCCUGGGGGGGAGGUGGCAACCGGGGGGGUAAAAAAUUCGGAACGGGUCCCCGGAGUGGGGGAUAGCCCGGGCAAAGCCGGAUUUAAUCCCGCAAACGCUCUGAGGAGGAAAGGGGGGGAUGGGCAGACUUCUCGCUCAGGGGGCGGCGAUGGCAGAUUAGGUAGUUGGUGGGGUAAGGCUUACCCAGCCGACGAUCUGUAGCUGUCUGAGAGGACGACCAGCCACACUGGGGACUGAGACACGGCCCAGACUCCUACGGGAGGCAGCAGUGGGGAAUUUUGGACAAUGGGCGCAAGCCUGAUCCAGCAAUGCCGCGUGUGUGAAGAAGGCCUUCGGGUUGUAAAGCACUUUUGUCCGGAAAGAAAACUUCUGUCCUAAUACGGUCGGGGGGAUGACGGUACCGGAAGAAUAAGCACCGGGCCUA
rnacentral:rRNA from 1 species